rnacentral:rRNA from 1 species
AUGCUUAGUACGGCGAGUGAGCGGCAAAAGCUCAAAUUUGAAAUCUGGUACCUUCGGUGCCCGAGUUGUAAUUUGGAGAGGGCAACUUUGGGGCCGUUCCUUGUCUAUGUUCCUUGGAACAGGACGUCAUAGAGGGUGAGAAUCCCGUGUGGCGAGGAGUGCGGUUCUUUGUAAAGUGCCUUCGAAGAGUCGAGUUGUUUGGGAAUGCAGCUCUAAGUGGGUGGUAAAUUCCAUCUAAAGCUAAAUAUUGGCGAGAGACCGAUAGCGAACAAGUACAGUGAUGGAAAGAUGAAAAGAACUUUGAAAAGAGAGUGAAAAAGUACGUGAAAUUGUUGAAAGGGAAGGGCAUUUGAUCAGACAUGGUGUUUUGUGCCCUCUGCUCCUUGUGGGUAGGGGAAUCUCGCAUUUCACUGGGCCAGCAUCAGUUUUGGUGGCAGGAUAAAUCCAUAGGAAUGUAGCUUGCCUCGGUAAGUAUUAUAGCCUGUGGGAAUACUGCCAGCUGGGACUGAGGACUGCGACGUAAGUCAAGGAUGCUGGCAUAAUGGUUAUAUGCCGCCCGUC